rnacentral:rRNA from 1 species
GACAGAGGGUGCAAACGUUGUUCGGAAUUACUGGGCAUAAAGCGCACGUAGGUGGUCCGCUAAGUCGCGUGUGAAAUCCCCCGGCUCAACCGGGGAAAUGCGCGUGAUACUGGCGGGCUUGAGGGCGGGAGGGGUGAAUGGAACUCCAGGUGGAGCGGUGAAAUGCGUAGAUAUCUGGAGGAACACCGGUGGCGAAAGCGGUUCACUGGCCCGACACUGACACUGAGGUGCGAAAGCUAGGGUAGCAAACGGG